CACGCCGCGUGAGUGAUGAAGGUUUUCGGAUCGUAAAACUCUGUUGUUAGGGAAGAACAAGUACCGUUCGAAUAGGGCGGUACCUUGACGGUACCUAACCAGAAAGCCACGGCUAACUACGUGCCAGCAGCCGCGGUAAUACGUAGGUGGCAAGCGUUGUCCGGAAUUAUUGGGCGUAAAGCGCGCGCAGGCGGUUUCUUAAGUCUGAUGUGAAAGCCCCCGGCUCAACCGGGGAGGGUCAUUGGAAACUGGGGAACUUGAGUGCAGAAGAGGAGAGUGGAAUUCCACGUGUAGCGGUGAAAUGCGUAGAGAUGUGGAGGAACACCAGUGGCGAAGGCGACUCUCUGGUCUGUAACUGACGCUGAGGCGCGAAAGCGUGGGGAGCGAACAGGAUUAGAUACCCUGGUAGUCCACGCCGUAAACGAUGAGUGCUAAGUGUUAGAGGGUUUCCGCCCUUUAGUGCUGCAGCAAACGCAUUAAGCACUCC
rnacentral:rRNA from 1 species